rnacentral:rRNA from 1 species
AUGCAAGUCGAACGACCGACCUUUCUUCGGAAAGUUAGGGAGUGGCAAACGGGAGAGUAACACAUUGGUAACCUACCCCAGAGACGUGAACAACUCCGAGAAAUUGGAGCUAAUACACGAUACGAUGCACAACAUAAGUUGUGCAUUGAAAGCUCCGGCGCUCUGGGAGGGGCCUAUGUCCUAUCAGCUUGUUGGUGAGGUAAAAGCUCACCAAGGCUACGACGGGUAUCGGGCGUGAGAGCGUGACCCGACUCAUUGGAACUGAGAUACUGUCCAAACACCUACGGGUGGCUGCAGUCGAGAAUCUUCCACAAUGGACGAAAGUCUGAUGGGGCGACGCCGCGUGCCGGAUGAAGGCCUAUGGGUUGUAAACGGCUUUUCUAAGGGAAGAACAAAUGACGGUACCUUAGGAAUAAGGGGCUGCUAAAUUCGUGCCAGCAGCAGCGGUAAUACGAAUGCCUCAAGUGUUGUCCGGAGUUAUUGGGCGUAAAGGGUCCGUAGGCGGUUUUAUAAGUCAUCCGUUAAAUCUCAAGGCUCAACUUUGAGACUGCGUGUGAUACUGUAAGACUAGAGGAUGGGAGAGGUGCACGGAAUUGCUGGUGUAGGGGUAAAAUCCGUUAAUAUCAGCAAGAACACCAAAAGCGAAAGCAGUGCACUGGAACAUUCCUGACGCUGAGGGACGAAAGCGUGGGUAGCGAAUGGGAUUAGAUACCCCAGUAGUCCACGCCCUAAACGAUGAAUGCUAGCUGUCGGGAGUAUCGACCCUCUCGGUGGCGCCUGAAUUAAGCUAACGCGUUAAGCAUUCCGCCUGUGGAGUACGGCCGCAAGGCUAAAACUCAAAGGAAUAGACGGGGACCCGCACAAGCGGUGGAGCGUGUGGUUUAAUUCGAUGAUAAGCGGGGAACCUUACCUGGGCUUGAACUUAUGCUGCACGACCUAAGAAAUUAGGUAAGCCUUCGAGGGUGCAUAAGAGGUGCUGCAUGGUUGUCGUCAGCUCGUGGUGUGAACUGUUCCCUUAAGUGGGGUAACGAGCGCAACCCUUGUCCUGUGUUACAUCUUUCACAGGAGACUGCCUUGGCAACAAGGAGGAAGGUGAGGAUGACGUCAAAUCAGCAUGGCCCUUAUGUCCAGGGCGACACACGCGCUACAAUGGCCGGUACAACGGGCAGCCACAUCGUGAGAUGGAGCUAAUCCCUUAAAGCCGGUCUCAGUUCGGAUUGAAGGCUGCAAUUCGCCUUCAUGAAGCCGGAAUCGCUAGUAACGGCCAAUCAGCCACGUGGCCGUGAAUACGUUCUCGGGUCUUGUACUCACCGCCCGUCACGUCAAGAGAGUUGGUAAUACCCGAA